CCUCUGGUAGCUCAGUUGGUAGAGCGGUGGACUGUAGACCCAUAGGUCGCUGGUUCAAAUCCGGCCCAGAGGA